CUUCUGCCAUUGACUCAGACUGCUCGCCUCCAAAAACUUUAUAAUGCAUGAUUUCAUGUUUGACGAUCAGGACCUGGGCUUCUUUGCCAAUUUCCUUGGCAUCUUCAUCUUUGUUUUGGUAAUCGCGUAUCAUUAUGUGAUGGCUGACCCAAAAUAUGAAUAGACAUGCCAUUUUUGCUAUUGAUAGAGAUGUCCUAUUACUUUUGUAGUAUGAGUGGUUUCACAAUGGAUACAACUUAAUUUAGUUAAAGGCGUUAUUAUGCAAUAUGAAUGUUCGCUAUUAUAGACACGUGAUUUUCAUUCACUUAUAAUUUCUGCUUUCAUAAAAAGUUUGCAGCACUUUUGCGUUGAUACUAAUGGAUAUUGGCUGUGUUUAUAUUUGAAUUUGGUUAUACUGUUUGAUAAGAUG
rnacentral:lncRNA from 1 species